UACAGAGGGUGCGAGCGUUAAUCGGAUUUACUGGGCGUAAAGGGCGCGUAGGCGGUCAGAUGUGUAUGAUGUGAAAGCCCCGGGCUUAACCUGGGAAGUGCAUCGUAAACUAUCAGACUGGAGUAUAUGAGAGGGUGGUGGAAUUUCCGGUGUAGCGGUGAAAUGCGUAGAGAUCGGAAGGAACGUCAAUGGCGAAGGCAGCCACCUGGCAUAAUACUGACGCUGAGGCGCGAAGGCGUGGGGAGCGAACAGG
rnacentral:rRNA from 1 species